AGACGUCUACAUUAGAUACCCGUGUAGUCCCAGCCGUAAACUAUGCGCGUUAGGUGUAUCGGUGACCACGAGUUACCGAGGUGCCGAAGGGAAACCGUGAAACGUGCCGCCUGGGAAGUACGGUCACAAGGCUGAAACUUAAAGGAAUUGGCGGGGAGCACCACAACGGGUGGAGCCUGCGGUUUAAUUGGACUCAACGCCGGGAAGCUCACCGGAUAAGACAGCGGAAUGAUUGCCGGGCUGAAGACUCUGCAUGACUAGCUG
rnacentral:rRNA from 1 species